rnacentral:rRNA from 1 species
AUUGAACGCUGGCGGCAUGCUUUACACAUGCAAGUCGAACGGCAGCACGGGUGCUUGCACCUGGUGGCGAGUGGCGAACGGGUGAGUAAUGCAUCGGAACGUAUCCAAUAAUGGGGGAUAACGCAUCGAAAGGUGUGCUAAUACCGCAUACGCCCUGAGGGGGGAAAGUGGGGGACCGUAAGGCCUCACGUUAAUGGAGCGGCCGAUGUCAGAUUAGCUAGUUGGUGAGGUAAAGGCUCACCAAGGCGACGAUCUGUAGCUGGUCUGAGAGGAUGAUCAGCCACACUGGGACUGAGACACGGCCCAGACUCCUACGGGAGGCAGCAGUGGGGAAUUUUGGACAAUGGGGGCAACCCUGAUCCAGCCAUGCCGCGUGAGUGAAGAAGGCCUUCGGGUUGUAAAGCUCUUUCGCAAGGGAAGAAAACUUAAGCCUUAAUACGGUUUGAGGAUGACGGUACCUUGAUAAGAAGCACCGGCUAACUACGUGCCAGCCGCCGCCGUAACAC